rnacentral:rRNA from 1 species
GAUCAUGGCUCAGGAUGAACGCUGGCGGCGUGCUUAACACAUGCAAGUCGAACGAAGCACCUUGAUUUGAUUCUUCGGAUGAAGAUCUUGGUGACUGAGUGGCGGACGGGUGAGUAACGCGUGGGUAACCUGCCUCAUACAGGGGGAUAACAGUUAGAAAUGACUGCUAAUACCGCAUAAGACCACAGCACCGCAUGGUGCAGGGUAAAACUACCGGUGGUAUGAGAUGGACCCGG